CGUGUAGGCGGUUUGGCAAGUCAGAGGUGAAAUGCCCCGGCUCAACCGGGGACCUGCCUUUGAAACUGCCGAACUUGAGGCCGUGAGGGGAGACUGGAAUUCCUAGUGUAGCGGUGAAAUGCAUAGAUAUUAGGAAGAACACCAGUGGCGGAGGCGAGUCUCUGGCACGGUUCUGACGCUGAGGCGCGAAAGCUAGGGGAGCGAACG
rnacentral:rRNA from 1 species